UGUGUUCAUGGUGCCUGGGGACUCUAAGGCUCUGUCUACGCUUCAGUUGUCCACCUUCCUAGGGCCUAGUGGAGUCCCAUGCAACGAUGUAUGCAGUAGGUCCACCCUGUGUGCAGUAGGACCACCAUGUGUGCAGUAGGUCCACCAUGUGUGCAGUAGGACCACUCUGUGUGCAGUAGGACCACCCUGUGUGCAGUAGGACCACCCUGUGUGCAGUAGGACCACCAUGUGUGCUGUAGGUCCACCAUGUGUGCAGUAGGUCCACUAUGUGUGCUGUAGGUCCAACAUGUAUGUAGUAGGUCCACUAUGUAUACAAUAGGUCCAACAUAUGUGCAGUAGGUCUGCAAAGACUUUGCUGAUUGAUCUGAUCUCAGGAAGGAUAGGAGGAUAUGAAGGUUUUUUCUGUGGCUUUGGGGGUAAGAGGCGUUUAGGGCUACACACCUGACCUGACCUAAUGGACGCUCUGUGGGCCUAUGUGACAGCAAGACGAAAGGCUGAACACCCCUCUUGGACCCCAUGUCAGAGCCACGGCUCCCAAAACGGUGCGGGGUGGCGUGCUCCGAGGCCUCUUCCUUGGGUUUACUGACGCAAAGUGUGGAUUCUCACAGAUAAUUACAAAUGACUUCCGUCUACCCCUGGAGAGUUCUAUUGCUGAGUGGUCUGAUUUCCUGGAUUAUGUCCCAAGAAAGCUGAGGACAGGGCAUUGCCGCCAGCCCCCAAAGUGCUCAUUUAGUGCCCAUGGAAGCUUGGUGCUUUGCUUUGUGUGUCAUGAUGGCGCAUCAGGAGAUUGCAAAAAAAGAAAGAGAGAGAGAAAUAAA